AAAUCCGUAUGUUGAGAUCCUAAUCCCCAAGGUGAUGGUAUCAGGAGGUAGAGUUUGGGGGAGCUGAUUGGGUCGCAAGAGCGGAGCCCUCAUGAAUGAGAUGAGCGUUCUUACAAAAGUGACCCCAGAGAGCCCUCUCACAUGAGGAGACAACGAGAAGCUGGCAGUCUGCAGUCUGCAUCUGGGAAGAGCGUCCUCACCAGAGCGGACCACGCUGGCACCUGACCUUGGACUUCUGGCCGCCAGAACUGCGAGAGAUAAAUUUCUGAUGUUUAUAAGCCACCCAGUCCACGGAACUUUGUUACGGCAGCCCAGAUGGACUAAAGACAGGCACACCGGAUCCCUGACUUCAUGGUGCUUACAGCUGAACCAGGAAGUCAUCAGGAAGAGACUGUGAUUUGAGACAAUGGGGGAGGAGGAGGAGCCAGGGAAAACAUCGGUGAGAAGAGACAGGUGGGAUGAGAAAAAGAAAAAUCCUACUCCCCAAAGAUGGUCACUUAGAACCAGGAAAGGUUUGUCUCACUCUGAAAAUUACCAAAACCAAGAUGAAACCCUACCUCUCAUGCUACAUAUUUAAUAUAACCCUCAAAACAAUUUUCAGCUAUCCCCAUUGGAUAAAUGAAGAAGCUGAAACUCAGAGAGGUAAAGUGAUUUGCCUGAAGUCACACAGCUUGAGCAUGACAGAGCAGGAUUUAAAUCCAGGACUGUCUGAUUCUCUCUUCUACAGCUUGACUCUGCAGCUAGCCAGAUGCCGCACCUCCUUUCCCCAGCCUCAGUUUCCCUGCCCAUCGAGAUGAAGACCAGGAACAGAAGCGUAUGGAAGCAUUUGAAUCAACAGUGUGGCUACAUCUCCCUAGGAGAAAGGCUUUGUUUGGCACCCAUUUAACAGAUGAAGAAACUGAGGCACAGCAAAACACUUCUCCCUGCGGGUCCCCGGCAGCGCCCCGUCCUGGCCCGGCCGCUGGAGCCAUGCUCCGUGCCAAGCCCCUCUCCAGAACCUCAGCCACACAUGCCCCUCACUGCCUCUAUUUUUGCAGGUGAGAAAACAAGAGUCUCAAAGACGUCAGGUCAGUUGCCUAAGGUCACACAGUCGGCCAGCUACUACAGGCACUAUACUGUGUUCUCCUACGCUACUAGACUGCUGAUAAAAAUUACAGUAACUCCCA